UAAAGCAAAUUAGGGGAUUCAUGAGUUAAUUUCUCACGUUAUUGAUGAACAAAAAGGGAAAGAAAAUGGGCCUCUACUUAGGCCCAAGCAACAAUUAAUGUGUUCAAUUUUGGCAAUGUGCUUUAUACAAAAUCCAGAAAAAGAAAAAAAAAUGAAUCAUACAAAAUUACACACGGCUUCGAACCAUGUUCAUUUGUGCGUGAAAAUCACAUUUUUAUGAAUGCACAUAAGUCCAGAUUCUUUGGGAAGCAAUUACAUGUGCUGAAUUUCUUUGGGAUGCAUUUUACUGAACUCCGUGUAACACUGUUACAUUUAAUACUCAGUUGAAAAACGAAUACGGAAUGCUAAUAACAUCAGCACCUUACUGAUAAACACGACACAUCAUGGUUCACAUAUUAUUUUGCAGAACCUAUUCAAGAUAGUGAGAUACACAUUUUUCACUUGUUCUAAGAUACAAGUACCAAAAAUAAGAAAAUAUAUAUUGCCUUAAGGCAAAAGACAUGCAAUAUCUAAUACUCUACUUAGUUAACUAAUCAUACUUUACCAACUUGAUUCAAUUGGUUUUGGAGAAAUAUUAGCCAACUAAUCCAUACAUGAACGUCUUCUACAUAUAAAAAAUUUGAGCCAUUUUCUUAGGAAAACAAAACCAAAAGUAAGAUUUAAUCAAAUAUUAUGCAAAAUAUUGCUGCUAAAUAGAUUUAAUCAAAUAUUAUGCAAAAUAUUGCUGCUAAACUUAAAGGAUACACGAACUAAGCUAACCUUCACAAAAUUAGGAGAAAAGUGAGGGGAGAAAUAGAACACAAAAGUCAAUCUUCUUGCUACUAAUUAAGGAAAAACUCCCUACCUUUCUAUAUUUCCCUUUUUUAAACAUAAAUAUACUGCAAAUUAACCAAAACUUCUCAACAGUUCCAGGUUAUUGCCUAAACCCAGUAGUGAUUAUCAACAUCUCGGAUAAGAAGGAUGCAGCGGAACAAAUACAUGAAAGUUUUUAAACAUGUAACAUAUGAAUGGAGAAGAAGUGAUUAACCCAACUCAAAACAUACACACAGAUUCUGCCAUGCCUUGAUAAGGAGAGUAAAACAAUAUAAACCCCUCAUCAAGAUUCAACAGCUCCAACACUCUACUUUUAUAUAAGGCUUCAUCUUAUUUUUUUAGCAAAUCACAUGCUGAUUUUAACGAACCAUAUGAACGAUUUAAAUGCGUCAAGUGUGCAUGUGUGCAAUCAGCAAAAGAAAUAGGCUACUACAGUGAUUCUUAGCAGGCAAAUCCAUAGUAGAUUUUUAGCCUUAAACUAGCCAAAAAUCACAUCCAUUCACGUUUAAAACAGAGCAAACAACCAUUUUACACUUUUUCAUCAAAUGACUCAAAAGAAGAGCCAACACUUCAUUUUAAAACAGAAAAAAGAAACAUAGAAAUGAGAUGUGUACCUAAAUUCGUAAACGAAAUCGAAACUUUGCCAAAUAAAGGCUAAGGAGGAAACCAGCAAUGACGAACUCAGCAAAACCAACAGCAGAAGAAUAGCCGAAGAUAGCUUCAAGACCCCAAUGUUUUUUCUAAAAAAUGUCAACAGUCGAGAAUCUCAGCAAAGAAAUGAACUCGAAUCCAAAAUGAACUCAAACUAUUUUUUGGUAUGUGUUUUGGAAUGAAAAGGAGCAGAUUGAAGAAAAAGGGCUCGAAGAAAGAGUGACGACUAAAAAUCCUAGAAAUUUUCGGCUAAGUUGUGAAGAUUUUUUCCGAUUUUUUCCUCCUAAUUUCUCUCUCUAAUUAGCACAGAAUACUUACCUCCAAUAUAUAGCCCUCAAAACUUUCGAAAACUCUGCCCAAAAAAAUCCGAAAAUCCCUCAAGUUUUUGAACAAUUUUGGGACAAAUGGAGGGCGUGGAUUGAUUCACAUCUAUCUACGACUCCCAUUCGUCCAACAAUUGUCCUUUUGUACAAAAAUUCGCUGUUUUGAGGGAAUAAUCGUACUCCUCUCUGACAAAUCCGUUGGGAAAUAGAGGUGACGUGGAGAGAGGGACCAUUUUGAGUGAGCUCUCUCGAAACUCAAGCAAGUUAAAGCCAAGCUCAGUGAAGAAGAAGCACAGUAGCGCCGCUUCUCUGAU
rnacentral:lncRNA from 1 species